rnacentral:lncRNA from 1 species
CUGUCAACAAAUUCACCAGCAAAAUAAAGGGGCUAACACAUUAAUGAGAUUUCCUGAGACUGCCCUGUAGAGAUGCUUGCAAUCCUUUGCUCUGGAGAAGCCAGGCACCAUGGCAUGAGGCAGCCCUGUGGAGAGGUUCAUGUGGUACAGGACCAGGCCUGCAGCAUCACUUGAGAGAGGCAACAUAACUCUUUUACUGACUAUCACAGAUAGGACCACAAAACAGCCUUGUAAACUCAUCCUAGAGGAUCUAAAAGAGAACCCCCUCAUAACAGAAUGGCAUUCCCAGCUUGCAGGCUCUGAGACUCCAUUGAGUCAUGCCACAUGUAUGGAAAAUGAUUUUUGGAGUGUUAUUCUAUCUAAGGAAAAACAAAGCAAAUUUUCCACUUUCAAGAUUAAAGGACAUUCUGUCUACAUUAAGACAAGCAGGUACAAAGAAGUAAGUUACUGUUGGAUUAAGAAUAUCCAAGACAAUGGUCACAACUUGAAAGCACAUGGAAAAACAUGAAUUAUUUUUAUAAUGUCAGCUAAUCCACAGCUGUGCCACCUGUUAGUAUGGAUGCUAUCCAAAAGGAUUUUUGAAACCUUGUUAUCCAAAUGCAGAAAUGGCAGCUGAAGAGAUGAUUUGUGACAGCAUUUGCUGAGACGAAGUCUGUCCACUAGAUGGAUAAAAUCAGUUCCCUUUUCAUAGCUUGAUCAUCUACAUCUGCUAGUGACCCAGUCCCUGAGAGUCACCAAGAAUUGAUUCCACUGAGGCGAUGGCAGGCGGGGCUUUGGUGUUGGAAAAGUCAGUGGUUGAUAUGGACAGCACAGACUCACAUAAGCUGCUGGUUUAUUACACUAGAAAAAUAAGGGAUCCCUUGACCCAGCUCGGCAAGUGUGAAAUCACGAAAUAAAUGAAGGUUAACAAAGACUGGUCUAAGGAAUAGUUCACUACAAUACCGCAAUGCUCUUCUCACUAAUACUCGACUCUGCAUUUCGGUACUUAUAUCUGAAAGAUUUGCAAAUAAUGACAACAUUCGUGCCAGACAUUACUGCAAGUGAGGAACAGACUAAAGGAGAGGAAGGAACAAAAUGCCUUCCAAGAGAGAAACAUUCAUUAGCCUUACUGGCAAGUGUCUAAAGCAAACAAGGAAACUGCAAAAUAAUUACUUAGUUACAAAUAAACGCUUUUAGCACAGUACCUUUUUGUGUCUGUCCCUCUUCCAUAUUCUCUUCCAUGGCUACCUUUCUUCAGUAGAAUCUGGUACACGGAAU